UACGUAGGUCCCGAGCGUUGUCCGGGUUUAUUGGGCGUAAAGCGAGCGCAGGUGGUUUAUUAAGUCUGGUGUAAAAGGCAGUGGCUCAACCAUUGUAUGCAUUGGAAACUGGUAGACUUGAGUGCAGGGGAGGAGAGUGGAAUUCCAUGUGUAGCGGUGAAAUGCGUAGAUAUAUGGAGGAACACCGGUGGCGAAAGCGGCUCUCUGGCCUGUAACUGACACUGAGGCUCGAAAGCGUGGGGAGCAAACAGG
rnacentral:rRNA from 1 species